AGUGAACGCUGGCGGUAGGCCUAACACAUGCAAGUCGAACGGCAGCACAGUAAGAGCUUGCUCUUACGGGUGGCGAGUGGCGGACGGGUGAGGAAUACAUCGGAAUCUACUUUUUCGUGGGGGAGAACGUAGGGAAACUUACGCUAAUACCGCAUACGACCUACGGGUGAAAGCAGGGGAUCUUCGGACCUUGCGCGAUUGAAUGAGCCGAUGUCGGAUUAGCUAGUUGGCGGGGUAAAGGCCCACCAAGGCGACGAUCCGUAGCUGGUCUGAGAGGAUGAUCAGCCACACUGGAACUGAGACACGGUCCAGACUCCUACGGGAGGCAGCAGUGGGGAAUCUUGGACAAUGGGCGCAAGCCUGAUCCAGCCAUACCGCGUGGGUGAAGAAGGCCUUCGGGUUGUAAAGCCCUUUUGUUGGGAAAGAAAAGCAGCAGGUUAAUACCCCGCUGUUCUGACGGUACCCAAAGAAUAAGCACCGGCUAACUUCGUG
rnacentral:rRNA from 1 species